GCCUGUGUGGCGAAAUGGUAGACGCAGAGGACUUAAAAUCCUCCGGUGGUGACACCGUGCUGGUUCGAUUCCAGUCACAGGCA
rnacentral:tRNA from 1 species